ACUUAAAUAGUUUAAGCCUAAAAUGAAGGAUUGUGGAGCCUUUGAUGAAGUUAAUUCUUUAGGUA
rnacentral:tRNA from 1 species